GAUCUGAUUUUGUUACAGUGGAUAUCGUCUAAGAAGGUGGGGUAGAAAUUUUUGCGUCAUCGAUUUUAAUGGCUUUAAUUUGUGUUUCUUACUUGAUCUAUCCUUGAUACACAGCAAUUCUGAAAAAAAAGAAAACGACAAUUCUGAAGGCUGUCAAAUCCACAGCAUUGUAGGAUAAUAAACAUAAUACACACAACAAUAGAAAGUUGAUGAAAAAUAUGACUCGUGCAGAAAUAGACAUAUAAAAAAGACAGAGGCGAAUCGGCAAAUCCAAUUUAUUUCAUUUAACGAAAGCUUUGGCCGUAACUUCGGCCAACUUCAGUCAUAAGA